rnacentral:rRNA from 1 species
CGGUAAGGCCCUUCGGGGUACACGAGCGGCGAACGGGUGAGUAACACGUGGGUGAUCUACCCUGUACUUCGGGAUAAGCCUGGGAAACUGGGUCUAAUACCGGAUAUGACCUGAUGUCGCAUGGUGUCGGGUGGAAAGAUUUAUCGGUACAGGAUGGGCCCGCGGCCUAUCAGCUUGUUGGUGGGGUAAUGGCCUACCAAGGCGACGACGGGUAGCCGGCCUGAGAGGGCGACCGGCCACACUGGGACUGAGACACGGCCCAGACUCCUACGGGAGGCAGCAGUGGGGAAUAUUGCACAAUGGGCGAAAGCCUGAUGCAGCGACGCCGCGUGAGGGAUGACGGCCUUCGGGUUGUAAACCUCUUUCGACAGGGACGAAGCGCAAGUGACGGUACCUGUUGAAGAAGCACCGGCCANNUAC